rnacentral:lncRNA from 1 species
GGGGGUUCUUUCUGAUCAUGAAUGUGCAGCAGGAAGGCCUCGCAGACCUCAGCACCAGCGCACACUUGCUAGGGGCACCCCUAGUGAAAGGGAGCAGACCAGGGCCCCGUAGUCACUGCCCGGGCAUUGUCCCAGGCAGCAGGAUUAGGGGCAUCUCCUAGAGCCCCAGAUGGGUUCAGAAAAUGAAGCUCUCCAGGCUAGUCAGACCCCCGAUGACCGAAUGCCGCCUGCUUUCCAGAGACCAACCUGAAGAAACAGGGCCUGCUGCCUCUGACCUUCGCUGACCCGGCUGACUACAACAAGAUUCACCCUGUGGACAAGCUGACCAUUCAGGGCCUGAAGGACUUCACCCCUGGCAAGCCCCUGAAGUGCAUCAUCAAGCACCCCAACGGGACCCAGGAGACCAUCCUCCUGAACCACACCUUCAACGAGACGCAGAUUGAGUGGUUCCGCGCUGGCAGUGCCCUCAACAGAAUGAAGGAGCUGCAACAGUGAGGGCAGUGCCUCCCUGCCCCACCGCUGGCGUCAAGUUCAGCUCCACGUGUGCCAUCAGUGGAUCCGAUCCGUCCAGCCAUGGCUUCCUAUUCCAAGAUGGUGUGACCAGACAUGCUUCCUGCUCCCCGCUUAGCCCACGGAGUGACUGUGGUUGUGGUGGGGGGGUUCUUAAAAUAACUUUUUAGCCCCCGUCUUCCUGUUUUUAGUUUGGUUCAGAUCUUAAGCAGCUCCAUGCAACUGUAUUUAUUUUUGAUGACAAGACUCCCAUCUAAAGUUUUUCUCCUGCCUGAUCAUUUCAUUGGUGGCUGAAGGAUUCUAGAGAACCUUUUGUUCUUG